GUGCUCAGUUCAGUGGCACAUAUACUAAGAUUGGAAUGAUACAGAGAAGAUUAGCAUGGCCCCUGCCCAAGGAUGACAUGCAAACUUGUGAAGUGUUCCAUAUUUUU